AUGUUGUUGUUAUCUGUUCCUUUUCUUUGGGCUGUUUCUCUUCCUUUGGGCCCAAGUCUAAGGUCUUUUUCUUUGGGCUCAAGUUUGCGUGAAGAUCAAGGGCUAGUAGGGUUAUAGAGCUUUUAUUUAAGCGCUGCCUAAGAACAUCUACGGACAUCGAACCAUUGCUGCUGUUCUGCAAUAAAACAUCGACCUGUUCUGCUCAACAACCGAAGAUCUGCAUCCUUCCUUCUAUUGACGCAUCUUAGUCUCUCUCUUGAACAUUUAGACUUGUGGUUCCUGUGUUCGAGAGUUUCUGUUUGUUGCUGUGAAUUGAUCGCAUAUUGCUAACCAGGUGCUGUCGAUCUAGAUUGUCAUCGACCUGAUUGUCGAUGACUUGAUUGUUGCUGUUAUAAUCUUCGCUAUAGCACUCUACGGUGUUCAAGCUGCUGUGUUUGGCUCUGUGUUUCGGCAGUUCGCAGCUAAGUUUAGCUGCUGUAUUUUUUGAUUCUUUUUACAGCCUGAUUUGAGUUUGUUUAAAGUAGUACUGAUUGUUUUUAUAUAAAAAAAAACUUUGUGCUUGAUAUUGUGUCUUUGACAUGGUAUCAGAGCCAUAAGUGACUCUUGGGUGACUCUUUUUCCGCUACUGCUUCCGUGGAGCUAUAAAUCAAAAUUUGUGUGGUUCAAGGGAAUCUUAGGAGUCUUGGUGGUUCUCUGAUUCUGCCGAUUCCAGAUUGUCCUCGUAUUCUCGGAAUUAGUGAAGCUGUGAUCGGUAUUUGAUAUUCUUAGCUUAUAAUCAGACUUGUAACCCUAAGUGAAGGUUACAAGUCUGGUUACGGGAGUUUAUACGCAACCACUGUGUUAGGCUCUAUAGGUUUAUGGAUUAGUAAGAUUGGCUAAAUGGACCAAGCUUCUAGAAGAUGGUGGGUAUUAGAGUGGGCUUUGGGGUAAUUAUGGGCCUGGGGUUUAGGGGGAAACCCUCCCUAUAAAUAGUUAAUGGAAAUUAGGAGUUAAGGUUGGUUCAUUUGUUUUAAAAACUUGUAUUAGACAUUUCAUAUGUAUGCAAGUUUAAGCAUUUGAAUAUUCAAAUCUUCAUCUUCUUGUUCUUGAUUUCUUGAAGAUCAUCAAGUUUGGAUUUCGCCCAUCCUUGAUGAUUGUUUGAUAUCGUUGUUUGAUCCGAUUUUCGGGACUUACAAUUGGUAUCAGAGCCAAUUUGAUAUCAAACACUCAAGAAAUUCUGAAUUUUAGUUGAAGAUCUUCAUCGUGUUCUUCAUGUUCUUCAUCGUGUUCAUUGCGUUAUUCAAAGAAUCUCUAUACUUUGGUCGUUGAUCUCUUUAAAAACUGUUAAAAUAUUCAUUAUCUUUAUUCGAGAUUAUCAUUACAGCAGCAAACAUCAUCAUUGUCAAUCAUCUUAUCCACAUAUUGUUUCUCUCUCAUCAUAAAUCAUCAUCGUCAAACAGUGCAUCGUCAUCAUCGUACAGCAGACAAGGAAUCUUUGUACAAUCAUCCGACAUCAUUCGAAAUCAAACAUCUUAAUUUAUCAUUUCAUCCGGAAUCAUAUCAUCUAAUCCGACAUCAUCCGGGAUCGUCAUUUCGAACAUUCAUCAUCAUCAUCAUCAGACAUCAACUUUUUUCAUCGGAGAUAUUCACCGUUCCUCAUCCGUAAUCAUCAUCUUCAGAGGCGAAGGUUAUUUGGUGCCCGGGGGUGCACCCGCCCACCCCAAUGUUUCGGUUAGAAGUGUAUAGGUUUCAUUUUUUCGUCCGGAAAUUUUAAAAAUUAUAUAGGAUCGCCCCCCAAUUAUUUUUCCUAAAUAUUUAUACAUUAUAUAAAUUAAAAUAAAGUUU
rnacentral:lncRNA from 1 species